AUGCCCUCAAGCACGGCUUGUGUGUUGGGUGUGGUCCUCCCGGGGACCUGCCCGAAAGGCAGCGGCGACGUCCGUCUGGUCCUCGAGCGUAUGGGGCUCUGUCACUCGCUCGGGAAGGACCUGCGGGGGUUGGUCACCACCACAUUUUACCAC
rnacentral:misc_RNA from 1 species